CUUCAACAGGUGUUGAUUCACUUCUCUUUCUGUGGAUGAGGGGGUGGAAAGUCCAGAUGAACACUGCACACCUGAGUGCAAUAUGCAGCGAAGGCUGACUGUGAGCGUGGCUGGACCAUCUGGUACCACAACUCAGAUGUAAUUAAUGUGUACUGGGUGAGUACCAUGUGUCAGAUCCGGAAUGAGGCAUUUCUGCACAUUUGGCUGAAUGCUCCCUGUGUACAUGGGGCGAGUUCAUUACUGGACUAUU